rnacentral:tRNA from 1 species
GUCGGGAUAUCCAAGCCUGGUAUGGAGCUGGACUGCUAAUCCAGUGCUCUAUGAGCUCGGGGGUUCAAAUCCCCCUCCCGACG